CCUACGGGUGGCAGCAGUGGGGGAUAUUGCACAAUGGGGGAAACCCUGAUGCAGCGACGCCGCGUGGGUGAAGAAGUAUUUCGGUAUGUAAAGCCCUAUCAGCAGGGAAGAAAGAAGACGGUACCUGACUAAGAAGCCCCGGCUAACUACGUGCCAGCAGCCGCGGUAAUACGUAGGGGGCGAGCGUUAUCCGGAUUCACUGGGUGUAAAGGGAGCGUAGACGGCCGUGCAAGCCAGGAGUGAAAGCCCGGGGCCCAACCCCGGGACUGCUCUUGGAACUGUGCGGCUGGAGUGCGGGAGGGGCAGGCGGAAUUCCUGGUGUAGUGGUGAAAUGCGUAGAUAUAUGGAAGAACACCAGUGGCGAAGGCGGCUCUCUGGUCUGCAACUGACGCUGAGGCUCGAAAGCAUGGGUAGCGAACAGGAUUAGAUACCCCGGUAGUC
rnacentral:rRNA from 1 species